rnacentral:rRNA from 1 species
UACGGGGGGGGGCAAGCGUUUGUUCGGAAUUACUGGGCGUAAAGGGCGCGUAGGCGGUUCGCUAAGUUGGAUGUGAAAACUCUGGGCUUAACCCAGAGCCUGCAUCCAAAACUGGCAAACUUGAGUACUGGAGGGGAAAGCGGAAUUCCUGGUGUAGCGGUGAAAUGCGUAGAUAUCAGGAGGAACACCGGUGGCGAAGGCGGCUUUCUGGACAGUAACUGACGCUGGAGGCGCGAAAGCUAGGGGAGCAAACAGG